AAGCGCCCGAAGCCGCGAGGCGACGGGCGUUCUCGCCGGAUGUAGGAACCGACCCGGGGACCGCCGGGGCAACCCGGCGCCCCGAGACGGGGCGAACCACGGUGAAAUGACGGAUCGUCGGCCCCGCGCCGGCGACUCGCCGAAUGAGUUUCUGACCUAUCAACUCGAGACGGCGGGGUAGAGGCCCGCCGCGGUAACGACGGGUAACGGGGAAUCAGGGUUCGAUUCCGGAGAGGGAGCCCGAGAAACGGCUACCACUUCCAAGGAAGGCAGCAGGCGCGCAACUUACCCUAAUCUCGAUUCGAGGAGGUAGUGACAAGAAAUACCGAUGCGGGACCCUACGGGUGCCGCGUUCGGAAUGAGUACGAUUCGAACCACCUAACGAGGAACGAUCGGAGGGCAAGUCUGGUGCCAGCAGCCGCGGUAAUUCCAGCUCCAAUAGCGUACGUUAAAGUUGCUGCAGUUAAAAAGCUCGUAGUUG
rnacentral:rRNA from 1 species